CAUCGCCUCUUGUAACCAUAAGAGGUCCAGCCUGCCCAGUGAUUUUAUUCAACGGCCGCGGUACUCUAACCGUGCGAAGGUAGCGUAAUCACUUGUCUCUUAAAUAGAGACUAGUAUGAAAGGCAUCACGAGAACUUAACUGUCUCCUUUCUCCAAUCAGUGAACCUAAUCUCCCCAUGAAAAAGCGGGGAUACCACUAUAAGACGAGAAGACCCUGCGGAGCUUAAAACAACAUAACACUUGCCACUAUCACUAACUACUCCAGCGUUCACCCACCCCAACGGCAUCCUGAUUAUACGUUUUUGGUUGGGGUGACCGCGGAGAAAAACUUAACCUCCGCAAUGAAAGGGCCUACCGCCCUAAACAAACAAGUUACAACUUUAAGUAUCAAAAAUUUGACAUUCAUUGACCCAAUAAAUUGAUUAACGAACCAAGUUACCCCAGGGAUAACAGCACAAUCCACUUUGAGAGCCCCUAUCGACAAGUGGGCUUAUGACCUCGAUGUUGGAUCGGGAUAUCCCAGUGGUGCAGCCGCUACUAAAGGUUCGUUUGUUCAACGAUUAAAAUCCC
rnacentral:rRNA from 1 species